GUGGGGAAUAUUGGACAAUGGGCGAAAGCCUGAUCCAGCCAUGCCGCGUGUGUGAAGAAGGUCUUCGGAUUGUAAAGCACUUUAUGUUGGGAGGAAGGGCAGUAAGUUAAUACCUUGCUGUUUUGACGUUACCGACAGAAUAAGCACCGGCUAACUUCGUGCCAGCAGCCGCGGUAAUACGAAGGGUGCAAGCGUUAAUCGGAAUUACUGGGCGUAAAGCGCGCGUAGGUGGUUUUGUAAGUUGGAGGUGAAAUCCCCGGGCUCAACCUGGGAACUGCCACCAAAACUUCAUGACUAGAGUACGGUAGAGGGUAGUGGAAUUUCCUGUGUAGCGGUGAAAUGCGUAGAUAUAGGAAGGAACACCAGUGGCGAAGGCGACUACCUGGACUGAUACUGACACUGAGGUGCGAAAGCGUGGGGAGCAAACAGGAUUAGAUACCCGGGUAGUCC
rnacentral:rRNA from 1 species